AUCCCUGCAUAAUCUGAGUAUGGUUCUUCUAAUGUUUCCUCUGUGUCUUUGAACAGUAUUUGGCCUUUAAGUAUGUCUUGAAAUUUUUAUUCAGAGGAUAGAGUGACAACUUCCUCACAUGCCAGACUAGAGACCAGAAUGUCCUGGACUAGAAACUACAAGUUAUUUUUUUCAACAAAUGUUUAUCAACUUUCUGCUCUACACAAGUACCUGGUGAGCAGGAUUAUACAAGAAGGAUAACGUCAGCAGAGAGACACAAAUUCUUAAAACCAAAUCUUUGAAUUGGUUUGUUAGAGGACCCGAAGAAACGUGGAAAUCAGAGAUGGGGAGAUGAUAGUAGCUUCAGAGGGAGAUUUCAAAUCAGUAGAAAUGAAUCAGAAUGUACUUUUCUGUGGACUUUGCAAACUCUCUGGAGAGGGAGUGAAUAAUAUACCUCGAAACAACUUUUACUAAUGGGGGCUCAGCCCAGGUCUUUGUGGGGACUAAAUUAUUACAUUCCCAGGGAACCCAUGAAAGCCACCUUGAGGUCUAAAAAUAGAAGUUAGCAAAUCCUGUAUGAUUCCCAGCUUCCUGCCCCCCUCCCUCAACCUGUAUGUGCCAAGCACUGAGCUAAGCACUUCACGUUUGUAUUCAUUCUGGUAAAAUGUUUCAUACUUUUUUUAAAAAAAAAAGCCAUAAGAUAAGGGGAGCCCCAAACCCUGCUCACUGAGCCUUAUUUGGGUCUCAACAUGUUGAAGUUCCCCAGUCUCCCGAUGGCUUGAGUGCUCCCACUUGGACCAUUCAUUGCUGGAGCAUCAGUCAGAAUUAUUUCCUUAGUCUUGAUUAAAAUGAAAAGUAAACAAGCAAGCUAAUUUUGUUUGACUCGUUUCCAUUUUAAUCUAUUAUUGUUGUUGUUAUAUCGCCGACGAGAUCUUCACAAUAGAAGUUAGCCUACGACUAAACAAUCUCCUCAAAUUCCAACAAUAAAAAAGACAACCAACAACAAAGGCAAUGCAAAAAUCAGCUAACCAAGAAAACAGCCUAUUUUACAUCGAAGCCUGCUUUUCUCUGUUGUGCAAAGUCUACUUUAGCUGACAAAUGUCUUCGUUCAAGGAAAAGAACAUUUGUUUCAGCUAAUGUUCUUAUUCCUGCAGGAAAAAGAAAGGUAAAUUCUGAAGUGAGGGAUAUCCUGGGGAAAUAGUUUGGCAAAUGAUACGACAUUUUUUUUUCCCUCUUCUUGUUUAAUAUCAUAAAGAAAUAAAUAUGGGUGACAUGGAACCAAGUAAAAGAAAAGAUUCUUGAAAUAAUAGAAUGUGAAAUCAGAAUAGUUCCUUGGAGAUCAGCAAGUCCAACUUCCUUUUUUUUUCCUGAUGAGAUCUGGGACUUAGGAAGCAAAUUUCAUUGCCCAAACUAACCCAGAUUGUGAGUAGCAGAAGUGAAGCUAGAACCAAAAUUUUAAAAUUCCUGUUCGCUGUCCUUUCUAAUCAACUCUUUUUCAAGACAUGAAGAAUUUUCUACUAAAGUCUGCUUGUAUCUAUUGACAAACUUCUGUUGCUUCUGUCAAACAACCAUAUGAGAACCAAGGUCCACUCUCAAGUAGAAAGAUGAUAUGGGAGGUAAAGUUAAAUGGGUGUUACCAAAGGAAGCCCAUGAUAGAAUUCAGAGUAUGGUGACUUCAAUGGAAAAAUAUAUCCUUCUCAUCUUCACUAACUAGUAAAAUACUUUACCUUUAAUGCUCAAUGAGUUUAAGUGUUCACUCAAAUUAUGAAUGUAAGCAACUAAUCAGAGUAGUGCUAAUAGUUCCUAUAACUACCACCAUAGAAAUAAAAGAGUUUUCAUAUCCUCUCAA